rnacentral:lncRNA from 1 species
ACCAAAGUAAAAAAUUAUAUUAUUUAAUAAUCCCUUCGUGCAAUACCACUAUCCUAUAAAUAGAAUGAACCAAGUUCAGAGCUCCGAUGUUAAAAGACUUCUUUAUUUGGGGGGCCAAUGGCGAUCCUAAGAGACUUCAUGGUUCAGAUACUAGGACACUCUGGGUAUGCAAUGGCUUAAUCGGCAUGCUUCAUGCUUGCUAACCGAAAACGGCAUCAAAUUCACCUUAAGUUGAUUUGGCAGUCAUUCAUGGUUGAUUUUCCAUUUUGUAAAUUAUAUAUGUUAUUUCUUCGUACUUACAACUAGCAUUUAUGUUACAUCCUCCUCUUUCCCAUUAGGAUAGGAAGAAUAAUCACGACCGCUCCUUAGUGUAUUUAUCAACGGAAAGGCGGGGAGUAUUUCUCUCUAUGUUUUCGAAUUCUUUCCUACAUGUUUAGAGGGGAGUUUUUCUUAUUUUCUUGUCUAGUUAUGGAAAAUGAAGUUUGGUGUUAAUCUGGCUAGACAGUUAGAUAUCUUGAGCCUGCUGAGUCUCCCCGAUUUGGUUUCCAUCCUUUGGAUGAACCAUCCUGAUCAGUAUUGAACCCAGAACUGCUUUUUCCUUUUACCUUUUUUAUUGGCUGUUAGCAUAUAUGAUUCAUGUCUUCGUUGGCUACUUUCUUUUGGUAAGUAGUGGGAUUAUAUACCACUACCUUCCUCAGAAAUUUUAUGCCAUCUUUGGUUUUGAAUGAGAGAAUUAACCUUUUUCAAGCUUUAUCUGAAUAAUAAAAU